rnacentral:rRNA from 1 species
UACAGAGGUCCCAAGCGUUGUUCGGAUUCAUUGGGCGUAAAGGGGUGCGUAGGCGGCGGCGGUAAGUCGGGUGUGAAAUCUCUGGGCUUAACCCAGAAAGGUCAACCGAUACUGCGGGGCUAGAGUGCAGAAGGGGCAACUGGAAUUCUCGGUGUAGCGGUGAAAUGCGUAGAUAUCGAGAGGAACACCUGCGGCGAAGGCGGGUUGCUGGGCUGACACUGACGCUGAAGCGCGAAAGCUAGGGGAGCGAACGGG